rnacentral:rRNA from 1 species
CCUACGGGAGGCAGCAGUGAGGAAUAUUGGUCAAUGGGGGAAACCCUGAUGCAGCGACGUCGCGUGAGUGAUGAAGUAUUUCGGUUUGUAAAGCUCUAUCAGCAGGGAAGAAAAUGACUGUACCUGACUAAGAAGCCCCGUCUAACUACGUACCAGCAGCCGCGGUAAUACGUAGGGGGCAAGCGUUAUCCGGAUUUACUGGGUGUAAAGGGAGCGUAGACGGCGGUGCAAGCCAGAUGUGAAAGCCCGGGGCUCAACCCCGGGACGGCAUUUGAAACUGUGCUGCUAGAGUGUCGGAGAGGCAGGCGGAAUGCCUGGUGUAGCGGUGAAAUGCGUAGAUAUUAGGAGGAACACCAGUGGCGAAGGCGGCCUGCUGGACGAUGACUGACGUUGAGGCUCGAAAGCGUGGGGAGCAAACAGGAUUAGAUACCCUUGUAGUC